GAGGCGGAGAGCCUGACUUCUGCCCAGAAGGCCAAGGCUGAGGAGAAAAAACGCAGGAAGAUGUCCAGGGUCUCCCAGACAAGUCAGAAGAGGAGAAGUCAACGAUGGCCAAGAAGCUGGAGCAGAAACCCAAGGGUGAGGGCAUCCCCACCACUGCCAACUGAAAAUCGAUGAGUUUGAAUCUAAUGUCAAUGAGGUGAAGGAUCCCUACCCCUCAGCCGACUUCCCAGGGAUGACGAGGAAGAUGAGCCUGAGAUCCCGCUGAGCCCCCGACCACGUCCCCUGGCUGAGCUGCAGCUGAAAGAGAAGGCCGUGCCCAUUCCAGAAGCCAGCUCCUUCUUCAUCUUCAGCCCCACCAAUAAGUGGGUGCCCC
rnacentral:lncRNA from 1 species